GAUUAACGCUGGCGGCGUGCAUAACACAUGCAAGUCGAACGAAGUGGCGGACGGGUGAGUAACGCGUGAGUAACCUGCCUUAGAGAAGGGGAUAGCCUUUGGAAACGAAGAAUAAUACCCUAUGCUCUAAGAUGGACUUGCGUCUGAUUAGUUAGUUGGUGGGGUAACGGCCCACCAAGACAGCGAUCCGUAGCCGGCUUGAGAGAGGGUACAGCCACAUUGGGGCUGAGGCACGAGCCAGACUCUACGGGGGGCAGCAGUGGGGAAUUGUGCACAAUAGGGGAUACCCUGAUGCAGCGACGCCGCGUGAUUUAGAAGGCCUUCGGGUUGUAAAAAUCUUUUCUAUGGGAAGCAGUACCAUAGGAAUAAGGACCGGCUAAUUACGUGCCAGCAGCCGCGGUAAUUC
rnacentral:rRNA from 1 species